rnacentral:rRNA from 1 species
GACAGAGGGUGCAAACGUUGUUCGGAAUUAUUGGGCGUAAAGAGCUCGUAGGCGGUCUGUCGCGUCUGCUGUGAAAACCUAGGGCUUAACUCUGGGCGUGCAGUGGGUACGGGCAGGCUAGAGUGCGGUAGGGGAGACUGGAAUUCCUGGUGUAGCGGUGAAAUGCGCAGAUAAUCAGGAGGAACACCGGUGGCGAAGGCGGGUCUCUGGGCCGAUACUGACGCUGGAGGAGCGAAAGCGUGGGGAGCGAACAGG